rnacentral:rRNA from 1 species
AUGUACCCGGCCGAGCUCGCCAGCGUCCCGUACCUCUCGGCUGCGACCGCAACCGCGGCCUUCAGGCCCCAUUACCAGGUGGCUCCGGACGACUUCCUCUUCCAGUACAACGGCGGCGGCCUCCUGGUUCCUCAGGCGGCGACCUCCCCCUGCUCCUCGUACCAGCAGCACGACGUCGCCGGCCAGCUGCUCCACGAGGCCGCCUCCGCCGGCGGGCUCCUCCUGCCGUUCGGGGCCAGAUCGUCCAACUCGGACGAGUCGGACGAGUACCACCACCACCACCAGGCGGCGCACUGCAGCCUCGCGGAGGAGCGGCGGCGACGGCGGAUGGUCUCGAACCGGGAGUCGGCGCGGCGGUCGCGCAUGAGGAAGCAGAAGCAGCUGAGCGAGCUGUGGGCGCAGGUGGUGCACCUCCGCGGCGCCAACCGCCAGCUGCUUGACCAGCUCAACCGCGUCAUCAGGGACUGCGACCGCGUGCUGCGCGACAAUUCUUCCCUGAGGGCCGAGCAGGCCGAGCUGCGGGAGCGGCUCGAGAAGCUCCCGGUGCCGGUGGCCGUGGCGGUGGAGGACGCGGAAGAAGAAGAGGGUAGGGUGAUAUGA